AGUUGAGAGAUAGAAAUAUAAAAACUACAAUCAGUAUUUUUUAGAAAACAGAGGAUGUAUAUAUGGGUGAUUCUUUAACUAUGGUACUUUUCUUGUCCCUGGAUGAAAUAAUAAAAACUAAAAAACAUUUCUUCUUUUUUGUUUUUGUCAUACUUACUCCACCCUAAGGGGAACUUAUAAAAAAUGUAUCAUGGCUCAAUCAUUCUUUUUAUUAUAUAAUAUGAGGCCUUUUAUGCAUGGUUUUUACUGUUUUCCCUCUGUCCCUAAGCCAGACUUUGUAUCUUCAACCUCGCUUAAUUCUAAAUUAAAUAUUUAAAUAAUGUAGAUUUCAAGUACAAAUGAUAAAAUACCAUUUAUUUCAAUUCUACAUAUUAUAUAUUGUGAUACAUAUUCACAUUUUCCUAUAUUUUUCAUAAAUAGAACCCUUGUCCCUUGGGGUCACUGUCAUUUCCACCACACUGUACAAAAUAGAAUCCUGGGAUCAGUGUUUUAGGUUUGUAUAUUUAGUAACCAUAGCAACAGAAACUCCACAGUGGAACACAUGGCUGGAUGAAAUGGUGUCCUCUACAGGGGGUAAUGAAAAGAAGAAAAAUCAAGAUGGCAAGCAAUACCACAGCACAGAGGUCAAGAUCAUACAGAGAAAGAAUAAAAUCAGAUCCACUUAAAUAUGCAGAGUCCCUCAAGAAGGACAGAGAAAGAUACCUGAAGAAAAAGCAACAAGGUGUUGUUAAAUCUGUGACAGAAAUGCCGAAAAGAGAACAACGAAAAAUGAGAAGACAGUGGCGAAUUUCUCAACGAAACAGACGUAGGAAAUGGAAAAUGGUCUCAGCAGUGAAUAGUUUCAUGGCACAUACAACACCACCACCAUCACCAGACAACAUGAGUGUUAAUGCAGAAGACAUCCCUGAAACACCUCAGCUGUGUGAGCCUACACCAGAGAGAACUCCACAGAGGAAAAGAGGGAGAAAAAAGGUUGCGAAGGCAAAAGCAAAGGUGUACAGAGAUCUUAAUGACAUUAAACAAAAGCUUGAGGAUGCCCUCAGAAAAGUUGAAAAAUACAAAAAAGAAGUAAUCGACUGAAGAAGAACCUGGGGAUCCUAGAGUCACCUAAAAUGAAAACAAAGCAACAGAUGCAGCAAGAAAGCAAGCAAUUAAAGAAGACACUCCUAUUCCAUAACACCAUUAUGUCAGAAAUAAGAAAAAAGUAUCAGAAUGUUGACAAUCGUAAAGCUCGGCAACUGAUCUCCAAACUUGUGGCUGGCAAGAUCUAAAAAAAAUACCGCCUGGUCACCAUGGCCAAGAAGGAGUUUGGAUUCUCUACAAAACUAAUCAGGACAAACAUGACAAGGGCCGACAAACUCAAAUACACCCGCAAAACACAACGAAACAGAGUCAGCCAAGAAGUGAAGGAAAAGAUAACAACGUUUUUAGAACGCGACGAUAACAGUAGGGCCACUACUGGAAAGAAAGAGACAAUUACAAAGAUGAUGUUCUUUUAGAUUGUCUCUACAAGACCGGAGGAGAUUUCUUGGCGAGUUCUCAGCUGCUUUUGUGCAGAUCCCCAUCCUUGCCAGUGUUUUGGUCUCAAAAAAGUCCACAUACUGGGAGCACAGAACAUGGAGACUGCAUUGGGAUCACCAAGUUCAAGCACACUUACCAGCACAUCUCAACCCAUCAUAGACCUGCAUGAGGGACUGAUUGGAAGUUGGUGUGUGGUACGGUAUGAUGGGGAUCCUUACCCUGGCAUUAUACAGGAUGUGGACCCUGAGGGUUGUGCUCUGGUGAGAACCAUGAGUCAUAUUGGUAAAAACAAGUUCUUCUGGCCUAUGAGAGACGAUGUUAUUUGGUACCGGCCAGAAGAUGUGAUCAGGCUGGUCCCAGAGCCUCAACCAGUAACAAAGAGGCAUGUGAUGGUGGAGCCAACAGUUUGGAAAGAAAUAUGCUCUGUUCUUGACCAUGAAACAUAACUGAACCUCUGGCCCAUAUGCAAGUUUGACAGAUACAGUAUUUAGCAAAUACAAUGUCUAUUUAGUCAGAUUCAACUUGUUAUUCCACAUGAUUACGUUUGACAGUACAUGGAUUUACGAUAUAACACACAUGACAGUAAUGUUUAAGUACAGAGUGUUUGCUCUGGUUCAGCAUAGGCAUAUAAGUUUUCAAUUUCAAAAUAUAUUGCCUAUUUUAUCUGUUAUUCAACUGGUUAUAUUAAGGUUAUGUUAAGGUAAUGAUGACAUAAAGGGUUUGCUCUAGUUUGUACUAGUUUGCUCUAGUUCAGCAUGUAGAAAACAGUGAAGAAAUGAUUUGCUGAUUUUUAACACAAAUUCAUGUUUUCAUUUUUUGGAUUGUUUUUAAUUUAAAAAUAUUGGUGAUAUGUUUUUGUUCACAAAUGCUGUUGCUUAUUGAUUUGCUCUGGUUCACCACAUAGAGCAGUAGAAAAAAAAUUUUUAUUGGAAGUUGCCUAUCUGUCAUUUCCGCCACACACUGUCUCUUCCGCCACGCCAUGUCAUUUCCACCACAACACAUAUUUUAAAGUAAAACAUAUAAAAAACAUACAAUCAAACCAACUAUAUUCAGUGGUGUUGAUAAUUGUGCAGUUAGGGCUAAGAUUUGUGUAUACACUUUGAGAAAUAUAUGAUUUUGAGCUAUGAUAAGAAAAUGAAAUGUUCCAUUGACCUAGUUUUAGGUGUUUUUUAGUGUAAACAUUGUAAAAUCUUUACAGUUACAUUUCUGAAAAAAAUAAUAAAUUACAAAUUUGAACAGA